rnacentral:lncRNA from 1 species
GAGUAAGAAAAAAGGAAGGAAGGAAGAGAAAGAAAGAAAGAAAGAAAGAAAGAAAGAAAGAAAGAAAGAAAGAAAGAAAGAAAGAAAGAAAGAAAGAAAGAAAGAAAGAAAGAAAGAAAGAAAGAAAGAAAGAAAGAAAGAAAGAAAGAAAGAAAGAAAGAAAGAAAGAAAGAAAGAAAGGAAGGAAGGAAGGAAGGAAGGAAGGAAGACAGAAAGGUAGAUAGAUAGAUAGAUGGAUAGAUAGAUGGAUAGAUAGUCAGCAGUUGCCAGAUAGUUUGAAUAGACUACAAAGUACAAAGGGGAGAGU